AGAGUUUGAACCUGGCUCAGGAUGAACGCUGGCGGCGUGCCUAAUACAUGCAAGUCGAACGAGUUCUGAUUAUUGAAAGGUGCUUGCAUCUUGAUUUAAUUUUGAACGAGUGGCGGACGGGUGAGUAACACGUGGGUAACCUGCCCUUAAGUGGGGGAUAACAUUUGGAAACAGAUGCUAAUACCGCAUAAAUCCAAGAACCGCAUGGUUCUUGGCUGAAAGAUGGCGUAAGCUAUCGCUUUUGGAUGGACCCGCGGCGUAUUAGCUAGUUGGUGAGGUAACGGCUCACCAAGGCAAUGAUACGUAGCCGAACUGAGAGGUUGAUCGGCCACAUUGGGACUGAGACACGGCCCAAACUCCUACGGGAGGCAGCAGUAGGGAAUCUUCCACAAUGGACGCAAGUCUGAUGGAGCAACGCCGCGUGAGUGAAGAAGGCUUUCGGGUCGUAAAACUCUGUUGUUGGAGAAGAAUGGUCGGCAGAGUAACUGUUGUCGGCGUGACGGUAUCCAACCAGAAAGCCACGGCUAACUACGUGCCAGCAGCCGCGGUAAUACGUAGGUGGCAAGCGUUAUCCGGAUUUAUUGGGCGUAAAGCGAGCGCAGGCGGUUUUUUAAGUCUGAUGUGAAAGCCCUCGGCUUAACCGAGGAAGUGCAUCGGAAACUGGGAAACUUGAGUGCAGAAGAGGACAGUGGAACUCCAUGUGUAGCGGUGAAAUGCGUAGAUAUAUGGAAGAACACCAGUGGCGAAGGCGGCUGUCUGGUCUGUAACUGACGCUGAGGCUCGAAAGCAUGGGUAGCGAACAGGAUUAGAUACCCUGGUAGUCCAUGCCGUAAACGAUGAAUGCUAGGUGUUGGAGGGUUUCCGCCCUUCAGUGCCGCAGCUAACGCAUUAAGCAUUCCGCCUGGGGAGUACGACCGCAAGGUUGAAACUCAAAGGAAUUGACGGGGGCCCGCACAAGCGGUGGAGCAUGUGGUUUAAUUCGAAGCAACGCGAAGAACCUUACCAGGUCUUGACAUCUUUUGAUCACCUGAGAGAUC
rnacentral:rRNA from 2 species